GUCUACGGCCAUACCACCCUGAAUGCUCCCAAUCUCGUCUGAUCUUGGAAAAAGAAAGGAAUGCUUAAUGCAAAAUUCUAGACAGUAGAGA
ensembl:rRNA 5S_rRNA 5S ribosomal RNA